rnacentral:snRNA from 1 species
UUUUCUUACAUAGAAAGAUACACUGAAAAUGGAAUCAUAUAGAGAAGAUUAUCAGGUUACCUGCGUGAGAGUGAAAAACAAUAUUGUAAAGUUCCCCGUACUUGC